rnacentral:rRNA from 1 species
GAUGAACGCUGGCGGCGUGCCUAAUACAUGCAAGUCGAGCGAACGGACGAGAAGCUUGCUUCUCUGAUGUUAGCGGCGGACGGGUGAGUAACACGUGGAUAACCUACCUAUAAGACUGGGAUAACUUCGGGAAACCGUAGCUAAUACCGGAUAAUAUUUUGAACCGCAUGGUUCAAAAGUGAAAGACGGUCUUUCUGUCACUUAUAGAUGGAUCCGCGCUGCAUUAGCUAGUUGUUAAGGUAACGGCUUACCAAGGCAACGAUGCAUAGCCGACCUGAGAGGGUGAUCGGCCACACUGGAACUGAGACACGGUCCAGACUCCUACGGGAGGCAGCAGUAGGGAAUCUUCCGCAAUGGGCGAAAGCCUGACGGAGCAACGCCGCGUGAGUGAUGAAGGUCUUCGGAUCGUAAAACUCUGUUAUUAGGGAAGAACAUAUGUGUAAGUAACUGUGCACAUCUUGACGGUACCUAAUCAGAAAGCCACGGCUAACUACGUG